rnacentral:tRNA from 1 species
ACCCAGGUAUAGGUACACACUUGGGCUCAUAACCCAAAGGUCGUAGGUUCGAAUCCUACCCCCGCUACCA